rnacentral:rRNA from 1 species
CGCGUGAGGAACCUGCCUCAAAGAGGGGGACAACAGUUGGAAACGACUGCUAAUACCGCAUAAGCCCACGGAUCGGCAUCGAUCUGAGGGAAAAGGAGCAAUCCGCUUUGAGAUGGCCUCGCGUCCGAUUAGCUAGUUGGUGAGGUAACGGCCCACCAAGGCGACGAUCGGUAGCCGGACUGAGAGGUUGAACGGCCACAUUGGGACUGAGACACGGCCCAGACUCCUACGGGAGGCAGCAGUGGGGAAUAUUGCACAAUGGGGGAAACCCUGAUGCAGCGACGCCGCGUGGAGGAAGAAGGUCUUCGGAUUGUAAACUCCUGUUGUUGAGGAAGAUAAUGACGGUACUCAACAAGGAAGUGACGGCUAACUACGUGCCAGCAGCCGCGGUAAAACGUAGGUCACAAGCGUUGUCCGGAAUUACUGGGUGUAAAGGGAGCGCAGGCGGGAAGACAAGUUGGAAGUGAAAUCUAUGGGCUCAACCCAUAAACUGCUUUCAAAACUGUUUUUCUUGAGUAGUGCAGAGGUAGGCGGAAUUCCCGGUGUAGCGGUGGAAUGCGUAGAUAUCGGGAGGAACACCAGUGGCGAAGGCGGCCUACUGGGCACCAACUGACGCUGAGGCUCGAAAGUGUGGGUAGCAAACAGGAUUAGAUACCCUGGUAGUCCACACCG